AGUAAAAAAGCAAAAUUAAAUAUAUAAUGAGUCAUAUCACAUUUAAACAGCACAGUGUUUGCAAAAAAAUCGUCGACGUUUAUCUACGCGAUAAAAGAUAUGAUCGUACAUUUUAGUAUUCGUUAUCACAAGCAAUAUCACUUAUGCUAUUGUCGAAGAAAACACUCGAGAAGUGACUAGCAAAUGCAUUUAGGAUGGCUUGUGGAGCAGAGAAGAUGUGAUUAGCGUAUGUCAUUUCAGCUGGUACAACGUGGUUCUUCCUUUUCAUAUAUACAAAUUACCAAAACAUAUUAGUAUCAUGCGUCAGCGAAUUUUCUAUAUUGUUAAUGAAAUUGAUGCUGUACAUUAGCUUUUUGAAAAUUGAACUUCAUGUUAUUUGAAUUGGACGGAAAUGGCAUAUUAUUAUCAUGAAUAACUGAUACCUGAAUCCUUAGAGAAAGAUAUAAAUCUUCUUGUACCAGUGGAAGCUCUUGACGAUCUACAGUAACAUUAAUAUCACUUGUUGACAAUAUUAAAUCCAAUGUUCUUGAUUUAACGUUUGUCGUUGAAUUGUGUUGAGUCAAAUAAUUAAACAUUCCAGUAACUGUGGCAUAUUGAAAUCUCCCAAGAUGAGUAUCGGACUACUAAAGUUAAAGUUUCCAAAUAUUCAAACAAAGACACAGUCAUUAAGUUGAGUUGAAGGAGGGAUGUAUGCUGCAACGAUGGUCAUUGGUUUAUUAUUAACAUGAAUUUUGACACCUAUUAGAUCAAUCUGUGGCACCGGAGACACCAAGCUUGUUUGCGGUGAUAGAGCUUUUUAUUGCUAUUAAGACACCUCCACCUUUAGCGGAUUUUCUGUCAAAACGAAAAACAUUUAAAACAGUAGAAAAUAGUUCUGUAGAAAGAACUCCAUCUGUUAGUCAGGUUUCUCUUAACACAAUAAUUUCGUCAUCUGAUGCACAGACGUUAGAAUAAAAUGUACCUACCUAUUAAUGUAUUUACUCCUCUUACAUUUUGAUAAUAGAUUUCUAAAAAAAGUGA